rnacentral:tRNA from 1 species
UGUAGUUCAGUUGGUAGAGUGUUUAUCUCACACACAGGAGGCCCUGGGUUCAAUCCCCAGCA